rfam:Camelus ferus isolate Naran unplaced genomic scaffold scaffold11780, whole genome shotgun sequence.
GUGGGUGUAGUUCAGUGAUAGGGCACAUGCUUAGCAUGCAUGAGAUCCUGGGUUCAAACCACAGCACCUUCA